AGUGACAAAUGAGCCAACCCGCAACUUUCCACUGCUGGGCGCGCGAAUAUCCCAAGUUUUGAAUGUGAAUCGAAUACUACACACUAACUACCCGUAAUCAAAAAUGAACAUUUCGGUAUCUUGUAAUAUUUGAAACUAACUAAAUACAUUGCAAGAAUCGAAUAUUUGUAUGUUCAGUGUUCUCCGUCUGCUAAACAAGGUAUCAGAAAUUAUCGGAGCGUAAACAAAUUUCAAAUUCCUGGGCUAAAAGCUACGCAAAAGGCUUGGCUGUGGCCCAAAGGACCUUACAAGGUAGUAGCAUUUACAAAACGCAAUCACUUCAAAAACCGUCUUCUGCCUUUGCAGGUUGGCUGCACUCAGCAUAAACCAAGAUUCGAUGACCAGCAGCCCAGUGAUAUCAAGCCCUACGUCAUCACCGGACGCCUACAAAAGAACUGCCACCGGGAGCUGCUCCACCCAUGCUUGGCAGCAGUGGCACCGCUUCGUUCCGUCGGCGAGCAUCUAAAAGAAAAACUGUCUUCCGCCUUUGCAGCGGGUGCCGUGCCAUGCAGUGGAGUUGCAUGCAGGAAGUGCUGCCACAACUUUGGAUGAAUGCACCAAAAGCCGGGAACGAGCAUUGUACUGUAUAGAGCAAAAUUAACAUUUCCUCAUUUCCCAAGGGGUCUUAUGUCUAUAUUAUGAAAUUGCACAUUGCACAGAUAACAGCUGGGCUAGUUGGCCUUGUUUUAUCUUUGAAUUAGUUUGUCCAGCUUUCUUUCUAAUAAUCCCAGAUAGGUAUCACAUUAGCAAAGACAGUACGAGGUGCAUCAGUCAGCCGUCCACCUGCUUAAGCGAUAAGGAAAUCGAAUUCUUUAAAAACAAGCAUAAGCGAUAAACAGAUUGUGUCAUGUCUUUUUGUUCUCUUUUAGUUAUUUUUUAAUUUCUGUUGCGCAUGCAUAUUCACAUUCGUGUUCACAUCGCGCUCAAUAAACUUUCAGUUGAGAGUCA